GGGGAUGCUAGGCAUCGACAUUUGAUUUACUUUAAAUCAUUCAAUGUAGAGCUCCAACAACUCUUUAAAAGGUUGGAAACUUUAAGUGCAAAAGCACGUGCAGCCGUUUCUCCAUAUUUUGGGGAAAAGGAUUUCGUUUACGCUUUAGCCUAAACGACGCGUCGCGACAGCUUUCUUUCACUGUCGUCUGACACGGUAAUAGCGAAAGAUUGAUUUAAGAGAUUUUUCUCUGCUCUUAAAUUGAAACUUAGAGAAUAGGUUCUGGCGCGUUUUGUGAAUUUUAUAACGCCAAGACCGAAUGUGCGCAAGCACAAAAAUCCACUAUACAUUGUAAACUUGUUUGAAGCAUCAUAUGCACGGCGGUUCAAUUCCGCCCAUCUCC
rnacentral:tmRNA from 1 species